rnacentral:lncRNA from 1 species
UUUACUUUCCUUUAUGUUUUAUUUAAUUUAUUUAAUUUUUAUUUUUAUAUUUUAUUUAAUGUUAAUAUUUUAUUUCAAUUGUUUAUUUCAAAUAGUCCAUUUUAACAUACAUUUUUUCAUUUAUUUUAUUUUCAUGACUUAAAAUUAUUUUUAGAUUCUGGUUUUUGGGGUGAGGGUUGACCAAUGUUUCAUGGUCAACCUGACCUUUUAUUGGAAU